rnacentral:rRNA from 1 species
CCUACGGGGGGCAGCAGUGAGGAAUAUUGGUCAAUGGACGCGAGCCUGACCCAGCCAAGUAGCGUGAAGGAUGACUGCCCUACGGGUUGUAAACUUCUUUUAUAAAGGAAUAAAGUGAGGCACGUGUGCCUUUUUGUAUGUACUUUAUGAAUAAGGAUCAGCUAACUCCGUGCCAGCAGCCGCGGUAAUACGGAGGAUCCGAGCGUUAUCCGGAUUUAUUGGGUGUAAAGGGAGCGUAGGUGGGUUGUUAAGUCAGUUGCGAAAGUUUGCGGCUCAACCGUAAAAUUGCAAGUGAUACUGGCAGUCUUGAGUACAGUAGAGGUAGGCGGAAUUCGUGGUGUAGCGGUGAAAUGCUUAGAUAUCACGAAGAACUCCGAUUGCGAAGGCAGAUUACUAGACUGUAACUGACAUUGAUGCUCGAAAGUGUGGGUAGCAAACAGGAUUAGAUACCCGAGUAGUC